GGGUUGUGAGGUUAAGCGACUAAGCGUACACGGUGGAUGCCCUGGCAGUCAGAGGCGAUGAAGGACGUGCUAAUCUGCGAUAAGCGUCGGUAAGGUGAUAUGAACCGUUAUAACCGGCGAUUUCCGAAUGGGGAAACCCAGUGUGAUUCGUCACACUAUCAUUAACUGAAUCCAUAGGUUAAUGAGGCGAACCGGGGGAACUGAAACAUCUAAGUACCCCGAGGAAAAGAAAUCAACCGAGAUUCCCCCAGUAGCGGCGAGCGAACGGGGAGCAGCCCAGAGCCUGAAUCAGUGUGUGUGUUAGUGGAAGCGUCUGGAAAGGCGUGCGAUACAGGGUGACAGCCCCGUACACAAAAAUGCACAUACUGUGAGCUCGAUGAGUAGGGCGGGACACGUGGUAUCCUGUCUGAAUAUGGGGGGACCAUCCUCCAAGGCUAAAUACUCCUGACUGACCGAUAGUGAACCAGUACCGUGAGGGAAAGGCGAAAAGAACCCCGGCGAGGGGAGUGAAAAAGAACCUGAAACCGUGUACGUACAAGCAGUGGGAGCACGCUUAGGCGUGUGACUGCGUACCUUUUGUAUAAUGGGUCAGCGACUUAUAUUCUGUAGCAAGGUUAACCGAAUAGGGGAGCCGAAGGGAAACCGAGUCUUAACUGGGCGUUAAGUUGCAGGGUAUAGACCCGAAACCCGGUGAUCUAGCCAUGGGCAGGUUGAAGGUUGGGUAACACUAACUGGAGGACCGAACCGACUAAUGUUGAAAAAUUAGCGGAUGACUUGUGGCUGGGGGUGAAAGGCCAAUCAAACCGGGAGAUAGCUGGUUCUCCCCGAAAGCUAUUUAGGUAGCGCCUCGUGAAUUCAUCUCCGGGGGUAGAGCACUGUUUCGGCAAGGGGGUCAUCCCGACUUACCAACCCGAUGCAAACUGCGAAUACCGGAGAAUGUUAUCACGGGAGACACACGGCGGGUGCUAACGUCCGUCGUGAAGAGGGAAACAACCCAGACCGCCAGCUAAGGUCCCAAAGUCAUGGUUAAGUGGGAAACGAUGUGGGAAGGCCCAGACAGCCAGGAUGUUGGCUUAGAAGCAGCCAUCAUUUAAAGAAAGCGUAAUAGCUCACUGGUCGAGUCGGCCUGCGCGGAAGAUGUAACGGGGCUAAACCAUGCACCGAAGCUGCGGCAGCGACGCUUAUGCGUUGUUGGGUAGGGGAGCGUUCUGUAAGCCUGUGAAGGUGUGCUGUGAGGUAUGCUGGAGGUAUCAGAAGUGCGAAUGCUGACAUAAGUAACGAUAAAGCGGGUGAAAAGCCCGCUCGCCGGAAGACCAAGGGUUCCUGUCCAACGUUAAUCGGGGCAGGGUGAGUCGACCCCUAAGGCGAGGCCGAAAGGCGUAGUCGAUGGGAAACAGGUUAAUAUUCCUGUACUUGGUGUUACUGCGAAGGGGGGACGGAGAAGGCUAUGUUGGCCGGGCGACGGUUGUCCCGGUUUAAGCGUGUAGGCUGGUUUUCCAGGCAAAUCCGGAAAAUCAAGGCCGAGGCGUGAUGACGAGGCACUACGGUGCUGAAGCAACAAAUGCCCUGCUUCCAGGAAAAGCCUCUAAGCAUCAGGUAACAUCAAAUCGUACCCCAAACCGACACAGGUGGUCAGGUAGAGAAUACCAAGGCGCUUGAGAGAACUCGGGUGAAGGAACUAGGCAAAAUGGUGCCGUAACUUCGGGAGAAGGCACGCUGAUACGUAGGUGAAGCGACUUGCUCGUGGAGCUGAAAUCAGUCGAAGAUACCAGCUGGCUGCAACUGUUUAUUAAAAACACAGCACUGUGCAAACACGAAAGUGGACGUAUACGGUGUGACGCCUGCCCGGUGCCGGAAGGUUAAUUGAUGGGGUUAGCGCAAGCGAAGCUCUUGAUCGAAGCCCCGGUAAACGGCGGCCGUAACUAUAACGGUCCUAAGGUAGCGAAAUUCCUUGUCGGGUAAGUUCCGACCUGCACGAAUGGCGUAAUGAUGGCCAGGCUGUCUCCACCCGAGACUCAGUGAAAUUGAACUCGCUGUGAAGAUGCAGUGUACCCGCGGCAAGACGGAAAGACCCCGUGAACCUUUACUAUAGCUUGACACUGAACAUUGAGCCUUGAUGUGUAGGAUAGGUGGGAGGCUUUGAAGUGUGGACGCCAGUCUGCAUGGAGCCGACCUUGAAAUACCACCCUUUAAUGUUUGAUGUUCUAACGUGGACCCGUGAUCCGGGUUGCGGACAGUGUCUGGUGGGUAGUUUGACUGGGGCGGUCUCCUCCUAAAGAGUAACGGAGGAGCACGAAGGUUGGCUAAUCCUGGUCGGACAUCAGGAGGUUAGUGCAAUGGCAUAAGCCAGCUUGACUGCGAGCGUGACGGCGCGAGCAGGUGCGAAAGCAGGUCAUAGUGAUCCGGUGGUUCUGAAUGGAAGGGCCAUCGCUCAACGGAUAAAAGGUACUCCGGGGAUAACAGGCUGAUACCGCCCAAGAGUUCAUAUCGACGGCGGUGUUUGGCACCUCGAUGUCGGCUCAUCACAUCCUGGGGCUGAAGUAGGUCCCAAGGGUAUGGCUGUUCGCCAUUUAAAGUGGUACGCGAGCUGGGUUUAGAACGUCGUGAGACAGUUCGGUCCCUAUCUGCCGUGGGCGCUGGAGAACUGAGGGGGGCUGCUCCUAGUACGAGAGGACCGGAGUGGACGCAUCACUGGUGUUCGGGUUGUCAUGCCAAUGGCACUGCCCGGUAGCUAAAUGCGGAAGAGAUAAGUGCUGAAAGCAUCUAAGCACGAAACUUGCCCCGAGAUGAGUUCUCCCUGACCCUUUAAGGGUCCUGAAGGAACGUUGAAGACGACGACGUUGAUAGGCCGGG
rnacentral:rRNA from 1 species